rnacentral:rRNA from 1 species
CCUCCGAUGACUCGGCGGGGAGCUUCCCCCGGGAAACCAAAAGCUUUUGGGUUCCGGGGGAAGUAUGGUUGCAAAGCUGAAACUUAAAGGAAUUGACGGAAGGGCACCACCAGGAGUGGAGCCUGCGGCUUAAUUUGACUCAACACGGGAAACCUCACCAGGCCAGGACAUUGGAAGGAUUGACAGAUCGAUAGCUCUUUCUCGAUUCAGUGGGUAGUGGUGCAUGGCCGUUCUUAGUUGGUGGACUGAUUUGUCUGGUUUAUUCCGAUAACGAACGAGACUCUGACCUAUUAACCAGGCGUUGCCGGUAUAAAC